CCUACGGGAGGCAGCAGUGGGGAAUAUUGGACAAUGGGGGGAACCCUGAUCCAGCGACGCCGCGUGAGUGAAGAAGUAUUUCGGUAUGUAAAGCUCUAUCAGCAGGGAAGAAAAUGACGGUACCUGACUAAGAAGCCCCGGCUAACUACGUGCCAGCAGCCGCGGUAAUACGUAGGGGGCAAGCGUUAUCCGGAUUUACUGGGUGUAAAGGGAGCGUAGACGGUGCAGCAAGUCUGAUGUGAAAGGCCGGGGCCCAACCCCGGGACUGCAUUGGAAACUGUUGAACUGGAGUACAGGAGAGGUAAGCGGAAUUCCUAGUGUAGCGGUGAAAUGCGUAGAUAUCAGGAGGAACACCAGUGGCGAAGGCGGCUUACUGGACUGUAACUGACGUUGAGGCUCGAAAGCGUGGGGAGCAAACAGGAUUAGAUACCCUGGUAGUC
rnacentral:rRNA from 1 species